GACGAACCGUCCGAACGUUAUUCGGAAUUAUUGGGCUUAAAGGGUGCGUAGGCGGCCUUGUAAGUCGGGUGUGAAUUCCCACGGCUCAACCGUGGAACUGCGCCCGAUACUGCAUGGCUUGAGGGAGACAGAGGUAAGCGGAACUGAUGGUGGAGCGGUGAAAUGCGUUGAUAUCAUCAGGAACACCGGUGGCGAAAGCGGCUUACUGGGUCUCUUCUGACGCUGAGGCACGAAAGCUAGGGUAGCGAACGGG
rnacentral:rRNA from 1 species